GCGCGCGUAGCUCAGUUGGUUAGAGCGCCAAGCUUAUACCUUGGUGGUCCCAGGUUCGAGUCCUGGCGCGCGCACCA
rnacentral:tRNA from 1 species